AUUUCCAGCCGGCUUCCGGGAAUAGGCGGAGCUCCCCGAAUUCGGGGAGCUCUGCCUAUUGCCCGAAGCAGGCUGGAAAU